rnacentral:rRNA from 1 species
AGUGAACGCUGGCGGUAGGCCUAACACAUGCAAGUCGAACGGCAGCACAGGAGAGCUUGCUCUCUGGGUGGCGAGUGGCGGACGGGUGAGGAAUACAUCGGAAUCUACUCUGUCGUGGGGGAUAACGUAGGGAAACUUACGCUAAUACCGCAUACGACCUACGGGUGAAAGCAGGGGACCUCCCGGACUUGCGCGAUUGAAUGAGCCGAUGUCGGAUUAGCUAGUUGGCGGGGUAAAGGCCCACCAAGGCGACGAUCCGUAGCUGGUCUGAGAGGAUGAUCAGCCACACUGGAACUGAGACACGGUCCAGACUCCUACGGGAGGCAGCAGUGGGGAAUAUUGGACAAUGGGCGCAAGCCUGAUCCAGCCAUACCGCGUGGGUGAAGAAGGCCUUCGGGUUGUAAAGCCCUUUUGUUGGGAAAGAAAUCCAGCUGGCUAAUACCCGGUUGGGAUGACGGUACCCAAAGAAUAAGCACCGGCUAACUUCGUGCCAGCAGCCGCCGUAA